rnacentral:tRNA from 4 species
GCGGGCGUGGUGGAAUUGGUAGACACGCCAGACUUAGGAUCUGGUGCCUCACGGUGUGGAAGUUCGAGUCUUCUCGCCCGUACAA